ensembl:lncRNA
AGCUCCUUCAGGGUCGGCCUGAGCCGCAGAGCCACCUUACCAGGCUCACACCCUUUCCGGGACAACCUGCAUCCAGGGACUAUGACUGGAGGAGGUAGAGCUGGGGCUCAGAGAGGCGAAAGGACUGUCAGAUCACCCCUCUAUGGAGACCAGAUGACUGGGAUUUUAAUGUCAUGGAAUUCUUUGGGGAUCUGAUGAAAGGCAUGGACCCUCUUCUUCAAUAUAUAGACAUCUCCACACUCAAACAGUGUCCUGAAUAUAAUUUCUAGGGAUCCCUAAGGCCCAUUCAUGGAUCUCCAAGGAGCGUACAGGAGCCUGCUGAAGGACCUCUGCAUGUAAGGCUGGGGAAACCCAGAGAGGGAAAUGCCUGGCCCAGGGUCAUGAAUGACAGAAUUGGAACCAAGACCCAGGCCUCUGGAUCUCAAGUUCAGGACUUCCUCCUUUUAAACAUCCUGUGUUGAUGGAUGAAAGCCAGGUAAUUAGUUGAUACAA